rnacentral:siRNA from 1 species
AAUAUCUCUGUGGGUUGAUGCGU